rnacentral:rRNA from 1 species
UACGAAGGGGGCUAGCGUUGUUCGGAAUUACUGGGCGUAAAGCGCACGUAGGCGGACUCUUAAGUCAGGGGUGAAAUCCCGGGGCUCAACCUCGUAACUGCCUUUGAUACUGUGAGUCUCGAGACCGGAAGAGGUGAGUGGAAUUCCUAGUGUAGAGGUGACAUUCGUAGAUAUUAGGAAGAACACCAGUGGCGAAGGCGGCUCACUGGUCCGGUUCUGACGCUGAGGUGCGAACGCGUGGGGAGCACACAGG